rnacentral:rRNA from 1 species
AGUAACCUGCCUUUCAGAGGGGGACAACAGUUGGAAACGACUGCUAAUACCGCAUAAUAUAUAUGGACCGCAUGAUCUGUAUAUCAAAGAUUUAUCGCUGAAAGAUGGACUCGCGUCUGAUUAGCUAGUUGGUGAGGUAGCGGCCCACCAAGGCGACGAUCAGUAGCCGGACUGAGAGGUUGAACGGCCACAUUGGGACUGAGAUACGGCCCAG